rnacentral:rRNA from 1 species
UGGGGAAUUUUGCGCAAUGGGGGAAACCCUGACGCAGCAACGCCGCGUGUACGACGAAGGCCUUCGGGUUGUAAAGUACUGUCUUCAGGGACGAACGGUAAGUAUGUAAAUAAUGUACUUACAUGACGGUACCUGAGGAGGAAGCCCCGGCUAACUACGUGCCAGCAGCCGCGGUAAUACGUAGGGGGCAAGCGUUGUCCGGAAUCAUUGGGCGUAAAGGGCGCGUAGGCGGAUACUUAAGUCUGGUGUGAAAACCUAGGGCUCAACCCUGGGACUGCAUCGGAAACUGGGUAUCUUGAGGACAGGAGAGGAAAGUGGAAUUCCACGUGUAGCGGUGAAAUGCGUAGAUAUGUGGAGGAACACCAGUGGCGAAGGCGACUUUCUGGACUGUAACUGACGCUGAGGCGCGAAAGCGUGGGGAGCAAACAGG